AAACCCCUGUCUUACCACUCACUUUGCACCUUUGGGAGAACCUCUUAACCUCUUUUCCCAAAGGUACACUGGGGGUGGCAAUACUACCUGUGUUAGCGGAAGCUUAGAUCGCGAAUUUUCUAACUUGCUUUUUCUUCUUUUUAAUAGAGGUAUUUUUUAGUAUGUCUGGGGCACCUGCGUGCCUCAGUCAGUGAAGUGUCUAAUUCUUGAUCUCAGCUCAGGUCUUGAUCUCAGGGUCAUGAGUUCGAGCCCUGAAUUGUACUGUGUAGACAGCUGGAAGCCAGUGGCUCACUGGUCUAGCUCCUUCUCCUGCCCCUUUGAACACAGAAACUUUAAGAUCUAAAGUAUCUCCACACAGGAGGGAAUUUAGUGCUGGAAGUUAGUGCUGGAUGCUUAGUGCUGGACGGUUAGUGCUGGAAGGUUAGUGCUGGAAGGUUAGUGCUGGAUGGUUACUGCUGGGAGGUUAGUGCUGGAACUUAGUGCUAGAAGGUUAGUGCUGGAGCUUAGUGCUGGAAGGUUAGUGCUGGAGCUUAGUGCUGGAACUUAGAGCUGGCAGUUAGUGCUGGAAUGGGUACAUACAGUGUUUGGUUCCCCUCGUGUCUCACCGUGUAGACGCUCACCUACUGGAACCACUGAAGACCGCAAGCCAGGAUAACCACAGGAUUUGGCGUUCAAACCGGGGCCCCCUUGAGAGUGGGAGAAGUAUAGUCAGUGAGCACGUGGGACGACGGGCGCGAACCACGACCGUCCGGAUGAACCCAGACAGACGCGGCUCCAACUUGUAGGAACCAUCCUAACAAAGGCUGCCUGUCAACCCCAGCCUCCCUCUCGUCUUGGAAAAGCUCAGUUCGUGCUCCAGCUUUGGGAGACCAGAGAUGAAUUCCCCACGCACGAGAUGCUCACGUCUACGCAGCCGGGACCGUCAGCACCCGUAGAAGGAAGAGCAGUUUCCAAAUCUUCUGAGUCGAUAAACAAACAGCCCACCGGGUAUGAAAACAAAGUGGCCAACAGGUUGGAUCACUCAGGACUCCGCGUAGCUGGCGUCCUGGGCCACGUCCAGGCAGAGAGGCACCGCCCCCCCCCCUUUCCUCCUUACAUCACAGCGGGAUGAGCAUAAUAAGCGUUCGAGAAUAAUUAGCGGAUGACACACACUGCCCCCAAGGGAUGAGGGGAUAACAGCAGAACAACAAAGCUCAAGACGAUUUCGAAACGUCGGUGGCUUUAUAAGCUUCACGAGGUAGACAGGCUGGGCCAGAACCACUCUGUGGGGCUGGUGCCCGGGCCUGCGCCACCUCUCUGAUGCCGGAGCCAACGGUGCGAGGGCAUGCUACUCGGGGAGGGCAGAUCGUUAUCUCUUCUCUCAACGAGAGCCGGGUGCUGCCCCCUCGGGAGCACAAUUAAUUAGGAAUGGAGAGAAAAGUCCGCAGGCAGAUUCCCGGGGCCGCCGAAGCCAGUCUCCAACCCUCUGUGAUACAAACAAAUGCCUUAAAAGAAUCAAGGUCAUAAGGGAAGAGGAAGGCAAGGAACAUAAGCAGGUGAGCAGGAACCAUAAGGAAACACCACCAACGUCUGAUGUGGGGCCUCUGUCCCGAGGGGACUCACAGGUGGCCCGAGAUGCCCACUGCCACGCCAGUGGAACCUGACGGUCUGAGUUUAGCAGACGUACAGUGAGAGGUUUAUUGUCUUACUCGGACAAAAGGUUCUCCGUGGAUGUUCCAGACAGGAAGGGCCAACGUAGCGGUUAGGUCCCUCAGUGCCACAGGUGCCUCUAUAAUUUAAUUCCUGCGCACUCAGUGAAAAUUCAUGUGGAGCAGAUGAGAACUGUUGGGCUCUAGGAAGCCUACGCUAUACCUCUUUGUCAACAGAGACAGACGUGCACGUCGGCCGAGUUUAUAUACCUGGGUCAGUGCAUGUUAACCGGGGCCCCUGCCUCGACCGCGCGGAGCAGAGCAAACCGGCCGCGUGGUGACCCUGAUGCCCGGGCACACCUGUCUGCUGUACUGAGAGGGCAGAAAACGAGGCGUAGCGCACACAGGGCCCCGUGCAACCUAGGUGACCUGCCGUCUUAUGCCACCUUGGGGGAUAAAGCCUGCACCCAAUCGACCUCACCCUGCCGCUUUGCGCUAACGGCGGCCGAAGAGCAAACUGGGCAAGACCGAAUGGGUCCGAGACACGUACGCAAGUCUCCAUACAUCUGUUCCGCACAUUUAGACGGUUAUGGCGUACCCCUCGAAAUUAGCUCUUGAAUGCUCUAGACCCCAAAGCUGUAUCUCCAUCUGGGCCACGAUACUCAAGUCUACUGAUUUUGUGCCAGCGUGUGUAGUCCCUGCAGGGCCCAGAGAAUCAAUCGCUCAACCCCAAUUGGAACCGCUGUCCUUGAUGUGGACCAGCCUUAGAAGUUACUACAUCUGUUAGCAAUUUAUUUGGAAAACAGGAAAACCUCAACUAAAGCCGUGUUUGUUAAUUGCUGUAUCAAUCAUUAUUUUUGCAGAACGGUUUCUGUGUAGGCUAACCAGCCCCAAGGGACAAUUUUGCAGAUUUUCCAACAGAACAAACGCUCUAAAUUAGUGAAAUGCUUUAAUGGUUUAAUUGUACAAACCAUCAAAUACCUUAUCCCCACACUUUGGACAAAUAUAAUGACUGCUUACAAAUUA